AAAGGAAUAGACGGGGGCCCGCACAAGCAGUGGAUUAUGUGGUUUAAUUCGACGAUACCCGAAGAACCUUACCAGAACUUGACAUCCAGAGAAUGCUGUAGAAGUACAGCAGUGCCCGCAAGGGAGCUUUGAGACAGGUGGUGCAUGGUUGUCGUCAGCUCGUGUCGUGAGAUGUUAGGUUAAGUCCUGCAACGAGCGCAACCCUCGUCCUGUGUUACUACAUUUAGUUGAGGACUCUCAGGAGACUGCCCGUGGCAAACGGGAGGAAGGUGGGGAUGACGUCAAAUCAUCAUGCCCUUUAUGUUCUGGGCUACACACAUAAUACAAUGGUCGGUACAAAGGGAUGCCAAACCGCAAGGUGGAGCUAAUCUCAAAAAACCGGCCUCAGUUCAGAUUGUAGGCUGCAACUCGCCUGCAUGAAGAUGGAAUUGCUAGUAAACGCAGAUCAGAAUGCUGCGUUGAAUACGUUCCCGGGCCUUGUACACACCGCCCGU
rnacentral:rRNA from 1 species